GGGUAACCUACCUAUAAGACUGGGAUAACUUCGGGAAACCGGAGCUAAUACCGGAUAAUAUUUCGAACCGCAUGGUUCGAUAGUGAAAGAUGGCUCUGCUAUCACUUAUAGAUGGACCUGCGCCGUAUUAGCUAGUUGGUAAGGUAACGGCUUACCAAGGCAACGAUACGUAGCCGACCUGAGAGGGUGAUCGGCCACACUGGAACUGAGACACGGUCCAG
rnacentral:rRNA from 1 species